rnacentral:lncRNA from 1 species
AAGUUAUCUUUGUUUUUGUUACACAGAGUAAAAAGAAGACCCUGACGGAACACUGCAUUUAUAAAACAAAAAAAGAAGAAACAAAUUAUAAAAAAGAAACAUUCAAAGACAAGGUGUCACUUUCUACAAGAAGGGGAAAAAUUGCCUAACUAGAGAGAGGAACUGAAGCCUGGCCUGAGAGAAUAUGGGCUCUCAACGUGAACUCUGGAGGAGACAUGAGUCCCUGGAGACUGAUACAGCCUUGGAAGAAUGCUGUUCCUAACACAAUUACAGCUAG